GCAGGCGCAGUAGAGAUUUCUUGACUUCGAGGGCUUCAGAAGGUAUAAAUACCGAUGCCUUGAGACCGUUUGGUCUUUUCGGGGAAGGCUAUUGUCAUCCUCGUCGGGUGCUAGCAUUUGUUUGGGAUUCCAAAUAAUUUGAUUCAGGGUAAGUAAAUCUACGAAUUCCUUUUGACCUAUCAGUGUUUGCCUGCCAACAUUUUGCAUAAGACAUUUGAUCAUUUUGAGCUCACUUCCAUUUCAUGAAGAUGCUGCCGUUCAAUGCAUCUAGAUAUUUUGCUACUUUUUUUUGUAGGCAUGUUGACAGUUUCUUAGAUGUAUGCUCAUAUUCCAGGAAGAUGGCUUUUUAAAGUUUAUCUUCACAUCUUUAAUACUCACGAUAGAGGAGAGAUUUCUGUUUUGCAAAUGGAACAAUUUUGAAUGACUUAACCAAAGACAGCAAAGCUGUCACAUGAGCCAUGUAAUGUGUGUACCCUCUCGAUCUUUCCAGGGCAACUAAGGGUUUGGUUUCUUGUACAGUUCCCUUCUGUGAUGUGGGGGGUUAAGUUGCGCCAGCAUAUGCAGAGCGUAUGUCUACAAUGAUGGUAACUAUGAUAGAUAAAGCAUAACUUUUGGAAGUUAGUAGAAACAGUUGCUAACCCUGGUGGACUUGAACUUCCCUCAAGUCUACAUGUAGUAUGGGAUGAGGAGAAAUAAAAUGUCUUGAAAACAGGGGUACAGUGAGUCCUUUACAUACAGACCUUAAGAUGCGAACAUGUGUGCACAUGUCCAGUCACGUAAGUUAAUUCAGGUGUCUGGUGUACAUUGUCACAUGCUUGCAUCCUCUACAAGUGGUUUUGUUUUAGUAUACUUUACAGUACUGUAUGGAGUACAGUAGGACAGUAUCUGUAUUUUAAGCCCAGGAUGUCUGGAAACAAGCAUAAAAGCAGCAGUGACAUAGGUGGUACUGCUGAAGAAUGAAAGAGAUUCAUGAUGCAGGAAGUGGUAAGGGGGUUUUCUUUAUUUGAGGAGGCACUGUUAGUUUUUGAGGCAGAGGACCCGGACGUAGAAUGGUACACGAAAGUUGCAGCAACCAUUCAGAAUGCAAUGCAGUGCUACUGUGUCAUCUGAUGAGAAGAAGAGCUAGUACCCAGAUAUCACUGGAUCGUUUUUUCAGGAGGGUAGAUAAGAGUUGAAUCCAGCAAGGGAAAGGGACCAGAACCUGUGCCAUCGGUGUGAGGCAUGAGUGAAAUUGCAGCUUGCCCUCCAUCUCCUGUUGCUAAUGAUCCUUCAGCUCUGCCAUCUCCCUCCAGUCAGUAACUCAUGGCCUGUUCACUCGAGGCCAGCCCCUGUAUGCUAGCUGUUGUACUUUUCAAGUUACUGUAAGAUUUAAAAUGUUUACUUUAUUUCUUUGUGUUUGUUUUUUAUGUAUUUGUGUGAAAAGUAUUAUAAACCUAUUACAGUACAGUACUAUAUAGUCAAUCGUGUUAAUUGGGUACCUAGGCUAACUUUGUUGUACUUUGUCCGCUCUCAGAACGAAACUUGUCUGUGUGGGAACUUACAGUAACUCUGUUCAGACAUUCCAACGUGGAUACCCCGGGAGGUCACUCCCCGGGCUCUGUCCUGGUGGCGUAGGGGAGCAUAGGGCUCUGCCCCAUGAUGUACAGUCCCUUUCCACAACGUUGGAGAUGAAGCUGGGCCUUGAGUCUGCGCCUGCAUAUUCCUACAGCUUCUCAGAGUCCUGUGGACGAUGACUGAGGAGACAAACCAUGCAGAGAGACAUCUAGUAUACCAAAAUUUAAAAGUGAAAUAAGAUUGUUAUGUAUGAAUCUCAUUCUUUUUUUGUCCUUUUCAUUCAGGAGAGAAGAGGAGCCUUGCCUGACUUGUGCAGUUAACAAUGCUUUGGGGGCCCUUAUUUGGCAGGGAGAUUAGUAAAGUGAGUAACACACUAUUUUUGGAAGAUGAGCCUGGGCAAUUUGAAAAUGUUAAGUUUCGCACAAUGUUUAACCCUGGAAUUGCACCUUAAAAACCAUUAGAGUAAUAGUGUUCUGUUAACCAGGUGCCUUUUGAAAUUUAGAAGGAAUUCCAGAAGACACUUGUGUGGGCAGGUCUGUGGACAGUAUAGUGACCUGGGAGUCCCAAGAGACCCUUUCAGGUUUCCUAUGAGGUGGAAACUUGAUGUACUGAUACUAAGAUCUUGGCCAUUCUCAAGUAAACUGGAUUUUCUUAAAAGUGGAAAGCAGGUGCCCAUGAGAAUCUACAUGUCUUAAUAAAGAGAUCCAUGUCAGUUUCUGAUGUACUCGGGUGAAUUACAAUAAAGGUGACUAUAUACAUAA